rnacentral:rRNA from 1 species
UACGAAGGGGGCUAGCGUUGCUCGGAAUUACUGGGCGUAAAGCGCACGUAGGCGGCUUGUUAAGUCAGGGGUGAAAUCCUGGAGCUCAACUCCAGAACUGCCUUUGAUACUGAGGAUCUUGAGUACGGGAGAGGUGAGUGGAACUGCGAGUGUAGAGGUGAAAUUCGUAGAUAUUCGCAAGAACACCAGUGGCGAAGGCGGCUCACUGGCCCGUAACUGACGCUGAGGCACGAAAGCGUGGGGAGCAAACAGG